AGCAGCCGCGGUAAUUCCAGCUCCAAUAGCGUAUAUUAAAGUUGUUGCAGUUAAAAAGCUCGUAGUUGAAUUUCGGGAUCAAAGGAUCGGUCAUGCCUUGGUAUGUACUGGUUUUAUUGGUUCUCACCUUCUAAAGAACCAUAAUGUCAUUCAUUUGAUGUUAUGGGGAAUUAGGACUGUUACCUUGAAAAAAUUAGAGUGUUUAAAGCAGGCUUACGCUUGAAUACAUUAGCAUGGAAUAAUGAAAUAGGACAUCAGAUUCUAUUUUGUUGGUUUCUAGGAUCGAUGUAAUGAUUAAUAGGGAUAGUUGGGGGCAUUAGUAUUCAAUUGUCAGAGGUGAAAUUCUUGGAUUUAUUGAAGACUAACUACUGCGAAAGCAUUUGCCAAGGAUGUUUUCAUUAAUCAAGAACGAAAGUUAGGGGAUCGAAGACGAUCAGAUACCGUCGUAGUCUUAACCAUAAACUAUGCCGACUAGGGAUCGGAUGAUGUUAAUUUUAUAAUGACUC
rnacentral:rRNA from 1 species